rnacentral:rRNA from 1 species
AAGACGAACCGAGCGAACGUUGUUCGGAAUCACUGGGCUUAAAGGGCGCGUAGGCGGAUUUGCAAGUCCGUGGUGAAAUCCCACAGCUCAACUGUGGAACUGCCUCGGAUACUGUGAGUCUCGAGGGUGGCAGGGGUAUGCGGAACUAUCGGUGGAGCGGUGAAAUGCGUUGAUAUCGAUAGGAACUCCGGUGGCGAAGGCGGCAUACUGGUCCACUUCUGACGCUGAGGCGCGAAAGCCAGGGGAGCAAACGGGA